rnacentral:lncRNA from 1 species
CAAAUGGAAAACACAUGCACACAUAUAUAGAGCUCUGUGCAGCAGAUUUUCGUAGUUGCAAACAAAGUGAAUUCGAACUUGUUGCAGGGCAUCUGACCAGAAUUUGUGCACUUGUGAACUGGACUACAGACUAUAAGAGAGAUAGAAGCAGCCACAAUCAUCUCAGAAGAUGUCAUUGCUACAGAAACAAAGAGAAAUCCUGGAAACCUUUGCUGCCUUCGGCUCUGUUACACUGAGCGUUUUGUUAUUUGGAUUUAUGGUUGUGAUUAAUCAUACCUUCACGUGCCCGUGCAGAUCUGAUCAGAAUACAACGCUAACAGUGUCCAUCUUCAUCGGACCUGCUUUUUUUGCCUUGGUUAUAAUGUUCCACAUGUUAAGGCCUCUUCGAUAUGGAUGGUUUCAUUGCCCCAAAGGAGCAUAUGAUGAUAAUCAGCAGAACUGGCCUAAAGCUCUCAUAUCCUGUCUGAUUCCACCUGUAAUGUGGAUCUUCAUGUUGUUACUUGAUGGUGAUUAUGUUGCUUGUGCCAUGACAAAAUGGAACGGAGUUUAUGUUUCUAAUUUUUAUCAAAACAUGUCGUGGUGUAAACCUAUCGAAGGAUUGCGAAAUGUGACAGAGUUACAAGAUUUGACGCGCAAAUAUAUUCAUCAGUCUCAGUAUGCAGGUUAUGUUGUGAUCUCUGUCUUCAGUGCCUUGUCACUUGCUGUUGUGGGUAUUCAUGACUGCUGCAUUAGUGGAAAAUGUGACCGCUGCCCAAGUCGGCUGUUGUUAUUCUGUGGACAAAUAGAGAGACACAGUGAAGAAAAUGACCAAGGACAGGACGAUGUAGAGCUCUGCCCCACCUCCACCAUCAGUACACACCCACUUGUUGUUAUUUCAAAAAGAGAAUAAACAGCUUAAUUUUCUUAAUUCUCUUUUUGCACGUAUGCAUGACUCUUCUCUUUAUUAUAGUAAGAUGACAGCAUUAAAAGCAUUUAACAAUUAUUUAACAUUUCGACAUUUAAUUAUCAAGACAUAAUUAAGUUACAGUUCACAAGUUUUUGUCACAAUAACCCAACAAAGCAGCACUAUAACCAUAUGUCAACCAUGUAUAACAUAGACAAAUAUAUAAGGAGCAUGGAAUAUGUUUUAAGAAACAAUACUGCACAAAUAAAGAAAGUAGACUGAUUUCUGUGGUUGUUAUG